CUCCUUCCCCUCUCCAAAAACUCUCUACUCCCACCGUCGCCUCCACUCCUACCACCGCCACUGGAGGCGCCUCCCCUCUCGAUGCCUUCGCCUCGGACCCCACCUUCUCAGCCUUCCUCUCCCAUUCCUUCGAUUCCACCCGCUUCUCCUCCGCCGCCCUAUCCGCCGGCUCCGCUGCCUCCACCGCCGAGAAGCUCCAGGAUGGCAUCCGCCUCCUCGAAAAGCAGCUUCGCUCCGAAGUCCUCCACCGCCACUCUGACCUCCUCAACCAGCUCUCCUCCCUCAAGGACGCCGAUUCCGCCCUCUCCACCCUCCGCGCCGCCGUCUCCUCGCUCCAGUCUUCCGUUCGCCGUGUCCGCUCUGAGAUUGCCGACCCUCACCGCCAAAUCAAGUCAAAAACCAUCCAGCUCUCCAAC
rnacentral:lncRNA from 1 species